AUGGCCCUCGCGUUCAGCAGCAACAACUCUCCCUCAAAUUUUAGCGGUGGCGCUCAGCCUUCACCUCCACGACUUUUCUCACCUCUUAGUUUGACCUCACCUUUGCUUCGAACAAAACUCCGUCUUCGGCCUCGUCUCUUUGAAUCUGUGCCUCUUCUCUUCUUCGAUGAUGAGGACGAACAAAGCGGAGCCGCUAACAUAGAUCGAAAGUGCAGAAGUGACGCACCGAGGUGCUGCAGUUGA